rnacentral:lncRNA from 1 species
AUAUUUUAGCCCUCGAAAGCGUGGUGUUUCUCUAAUUGAUAUUCACCAUUCUAAGACCAACCUCUCCCCUUCAUUUGUUGCAUGCCUCCAUCCUAGCCACAAUUCUUCUCAUCAAAUACAUUGGAAUUUUCUCCAACAUUGAUAAAAUGGACUUCUCCCGUGCAUUCAAGAUGGUGCUGUUAAAGGACUCACACAGAUUAUUCAGAAGCAUACCGCAUUUAUUCCCUCCUUUGAAAUGCAAUUUACUCCAAUGAUCAGCCAACUUCAACUACAACCAACUGUAGGCAACAAGAUCAGCAUCACGUGUUUUAUUCAUUUCUGUCACCCAAGCAGU